rnacentral:rRNA from 1 species
UACGGGGGGGGGGGCAAGCGUUUGUUCGGAAUUACUGGGCGUAAAGGGCUCGUAGGCGGCCAACUAAGUCAGACGUGAAAUCCCUCGGCUUAACCGGGGAACUGCGUCUGAUACUGGAUGGCUUGAGUGUGGGAGAGGGAUGCGGAAUUCCAGGUGUAGCGGUGAAAUGCGUAGAUAUCUGGAGGAACACCGGUGGCGAAGGCGGCAUCCUGGACCUUACUGACGCUGAGGGGCGAAAGCCAAGGGGAGCAAACGGG